GGAGGGCGUUAUGCUAUACAUGCAGUCGAACGCACUCUCGUUAGAUUGAAGAAGCUUGCUUCUGAUUGAUAACAUUUGAGUGAGUGGCGGACGGGUGAGUAACACGUGGGUAACCUGCCCUAAAGUGGGGGAUAACAUUUGGAAACAGAUGCUAAUACCGCAUAAAACCUAGCACCGCAUGGUGCAAGGUUGAAAGAUGGUUUCGGCUAUCACUUUAGGAUGGACCCGCGGUGCAUUAGUUAGUUGGUGAGGUAAAGGCUCACCAAGACCGUGAUGCAUAGCCGACCUGAGAGGGUAAUCGGCCACACUGGGACUGAGACACGGCCCAGACUCCUACGGGAGGCAGCAGUAGGGAAUCUUCCACAAUGGACGAAAGUCUGAUGGAGCAACGCCGCGUGAGUGAAGAAGGUUUUCGGAUCGUAAAACUCUGUUGUUGGAGAAGAACGUAUUUGAUAGUAACUGAUCAGGUAGUGACGGUAUCCAACCAGAAAGCCACGGCUAACUACGUGCCAGCAGCCGCGGUAAUACGUAGGUGGCAAGCGUUGUCCGGAUUUAUUGGGCGUAAAGCGAGCGCAGGCGGUUUCUUAAGUCUGAUGUGAAAGCCUUCGGCUCAACCGAAGAAGUGCAUCGGAAACUGGGAAACUUGAGUGCAGAAGAGGACAGUGGAACUCCAUGUGUAGCGGUGAAAUGCGUAGAUAUAUGGAAGAACACCAGUGGCGAAGGCGGCUGUCUGGUCUGUAACUGACGCUGAGGCUCGAAAGCAUGGGUAGCAAACAGGAUUAGAUACCCUGGUAGUCCAUGCCGUAAACGAUGAGUGCUAGGUGUUGGAGGGUUUCCGCCCUUCAGUGCCGCAGCUAACGCAUUAAGCACUCCGCCUGGGGAGUACGACCGCAAGGUUGAAACUCAAAGGAAUUGACGGAGGCCCGCACAAGCGGUGGAGCAUGUGGUUUAAUUCGAAGCAACGCGAAGAACCUUACCAGGUCUUGACAUCCUUUGACCACUCUAGAGAUAGAGCUUUCCCUUCGGGGACAAAGUGACAGGUGGUGCAUGGUUGUCGUCAGCUCGUGUCGUGAGAUGUAGGGUUAAGUCUCGCAACGAGCGCAACCCUUAUUACUAGUUGCCAGCAUUUAGUUGGGCACUCUAGUGAGACUGCCGGUGACAAACCGGAGGAAGGUGGGGACGACGUCAAAUCAUCAUGCCCCUUAUGACCUGGGCCACCACACUGCUGCAGUGGAUGGUACAACGAAGUCGUGAACCGCCAGGUUCACCAAACCCUUAGAACCUUGCACGUUCCAAUUAAAAAAUGAACUAGCUACAUGAACCCGGGACCCCGCGAACGGGGGAAGCGAUGAUCCGGAGAAAACAUUACCGGCCUUGGCAACCCACCCUUUCCUGAGGAGGUUGUACCCCCCAUCCGUAACGUUAACCUUCGAACAACCCACCUAAGUGAGGAAACUUUACCGGGAGGCCCAAGGGGGCGUGGGUUGUUAAGCCGAACCACCCUACCGAACGGAUUUGGACGAGAACGAGAGGAACCACAAUCAAACUUAAAACAACCUUUGGCCUUAGCCUUAACCCCCAUUUUAU
rnacentral:rRNA from 1 species